UCCCUACGGGACGCAGCAGUGGGGAAUAUUGCACAAUGGGCGAAAGCCUGAUGCAGCAACGCCGCGUGAAGGAAGAAGGGUUUCGGCUCGUAAACUGCUAUCAACAGGGACGAAAGAAAUGACGGUACCUGAAUAAGAAGCCCCGGCUAACUAAGAGCCAGCAGCCGCGGUAAUACGUAGGGGGCCAGCGUUAUCCGGAAUUACUGGGGGUAAAGGGUGAGUAGGCGGCAUGGUAAGCCAGAUGUGAAAGCCUUGGG
rnacentral:rRNA from 1 species